rnacentral:rRNA from 1 species
CCUACGGGAGGCAGCAGUGGGGCAUAUUGCACAAUGGGGGAAACUCUGAUGCAGCGAAGCCGCGUGAGUGAAGAAGUAAUUCGUUACGUAAAGCUCUAUCUGCAGGGAAGAAACACUUUCCUUAUGGUCAGCAGACGGUACCUGAGUAAGAAGCCCCGGCUAACUACGUGCCAGCAGACGCGGGAAUACGUAGGGGGCAAGCGUUAUCCGGAUUUACUGGGUGUUCAGGGAGCUUAGACGGGGCGCCAAGUCAGGAGUGAAAUGCCGCGGCUGAACUGCAUAACUGCUGUGGAAACUGGCGAACUAGAGUGCAGGAGGGGUAGGCGGAAUUCGUAGUGGAGCGGUGAAAUGCGUAGAUAUUAGGAGGAACCCCGGUGGCGAAGGCGGCUUACUGGACCGUAACUGACGUUGAGGCUCGAAAGCGUGGGGAGCAAACAGGAUUAGAUACCCCAGUAGUC